UUUUCAUCAGACAAUCUGUGUGAGCACUGCAAAGUACGCUUCUUUAAGGUAAGGAGGUGAUCCAACCGCAGGUUCCCCUACGGUUACCUUGUUACGACUUCACCCCAGUCAUGAAUCACAAAGUGGUAAGCGCCCUCCCGAAGGUUAAGCUACCUACUUCUUUUGCAACCCACUCCCAUGGUGUGACGGGCGGUGUGUACAAGGCCCGGGAACGUAUUCACCGUGGCAUUCUGAUCCACGAUUACUAGCGAUUCCGACUUCAUGGAGUCGAGUUGCAGACUCCAAUCCGGACUACGACGCACUUUAUGAGGUCCGCUUGCUCUCGCGAGGUCGCUUCUCUUUGUAUGCGCCAUUGUAGCACGUGUGUAGCCCUGGUCGUAAGGGCCAUGAUGACUUGACGUCAUCCCCACCUUCCUCCAGUUUAUCACUGGCAGUCUCCUUUGAGUUCCCGGCCGGACCGCUGGCAACAAAGGAUAAGGGUUGCGCUCGUUGCGGGACUUAACCCAACAUUUCACAACACGAGCUGACGACAGCCAUGCAGCACCUGUCUCACGGUUCCCGAAGGCACAUUCUCAUCUCUGAAAACUUCCGUGGAUGUCAAGACCAGGUAAGGUUCUUCGCGUUGCAUCGAAUUAAACCACAUGCUCCACCGCUUGUGCGGGCCCCCGUCAAUUCAUUUGAGUUUUAACCUUGCGGCCGUACUCCCCAGGCGGUCUACUUAACGCGUUAGCUCCGGAAGCCACGCCUCAAGGGCACAACCUCCAAGUAGACAUCGUUUACGGCGUGGACUACCAGGGUAUCUAAUCCUGUUUGCUCCCCACGCUUUCGCACCUGAGCGUCAGUCUUUGUCCAGGGGGCCGCCUUCGCCACCGGUAUUCCUCCAGAUCUCUACGCAUUUCNNNNNNNNNNNNNNNNNNNNCCCCCCUCUACAAGACUCAAGCCUGCCAGUUUCGAAUGCAGUUCCCAGGUUGAGCCCGGGGAUUUCACAUCCGACUUGACAGACCGCCUGCGUGCGCUUUACGCCCAGUAAUUCCGAUUAACGCUUGCACCCUCCGUAUUACCGCGGCUGCUGGCACGGAGUUAGCCGGUGCUUCUUCUGCGGGUAACGUCAAUUGCUGCGGUUAUUAACCACAACACCUUCCUCCCCGCUGAAAGUACUUUACAACCCGAAGGCCUUCUUCAUACACGCGGCAUGGCUGCAUCAGGCUUGCGCCCAUUGUGCAAUAUUCCCCACUGCUGCCUCCCGUAGGAGUCUGGACCGUGUCUCAGUUCCAGUGUGGCUGGUCAUCCUCUCAGACCAGCUAGGGAUCGUCGCCUUGGUGAGCCGUUACCUCACCAACAAGCUAAUCCCAUCUGGGCACAUCUGAUGGCAAGAGGCCCGAAGGUCCCCCUCUUUGGUCUUGCGACGUUAUGCGGUAUUAGCCACCGUUUCCAGUAGUUAUCCCCCUCCAUCAGGCAGUUUCCCAGACAUUACUCACCCGUCCGCCACUCGUCAGCAAAGCAGCAAGCUGCUUCCUGUUACCGUUCGACUUGCAUGUGUUAGGCCUGCCGCCAGCGUUCAAUCUGAGCCAUGAUCAAACUCUUCAAUUUAAAAGUUUGAUGCUCAAUGAAUUAAACUUCGUAAUGAAUUACGUGUUCACUCUUGAGACUUGGUAUUCAUUUUUCGUCNNNNNNNNNNNNNNNNNNNNGA
rnacentral:rRNA from 1 species